UACAGAGGGGGCAAGCGUUAUUCGGAAUUAUUGGGCGUAAAGGGCGCGUAGGCGGUUUUUUAAGUUGGAUGUGCAAUCCCCAGGCUCAACCUGGGAACUGCAUCCGAGACUGGAAGGCUAGAGUACUGGAGAGGGUGGUGGAAUUCCUCGUGUAGCGGUGAAAUGCGUAGAGAUGAGGAGGAACACCAGUGGCGAAGGCGGCUCUCUGGUCCACAACUGACGCUGAGGUGCGAAAGCUAGGGGAUCAAACGGG
rnacentral:rRNA from 1 species